rnacentral:rRNA from 1 species
UACGUAGGGGGCAAGCGUUGUCCGGAUUUAUUGGGCGUAAAGAGCGUGUAGGCGGUCAGGUAGGUCCGUUGUGAAAACUCGAGGCUCAACCUCGAGACGCCGAUGGAAACCAUCUGACUAGAGUCCGGAAGAGGAGAGUGGAAUUCCUGGUGUAGCGGUGAAAUGCGCAGAUAUCAGGAAGAACACCCGUGGCUAAGGCGGCUCUCUAGUACUGUACUGACGCUGAGACGCGAAAGCGUGGGGAGCGAACAGG